rnacentral:rRNA from 1 species
CGUAGGUGGUUAAUUAAGUCAGCGGUGAAAGUUUGUGGCUCAACCAUAAAAUUAGCCGUUGAAACUGGUUGACUUGAGUAUAUUUGAGGUAGGCGGAAUGCGUGGUGUAGCGGUGAAAUGCAUAGAUAUCACGCAGAACUCCGAUUGCGAAGGCAGCUUACUAAACUAUAACUGACACUGAAGCACGAAAGCGUGGGAUCAAACAGG